GACGAACGCUGGCGGCGUGCUUAACACAUGCAAGUCGAACGGAAAGGCCUCUUUCGGGGGGUACUCGAGUGGCGAACGGGUGAGUAACACGUGAGUAACCUGCCCUUGACUUUGGGAUAACUUCAGGAAACUGGGGCUAAUACCGGAUAGGAGCUCCUGCUGCAUGGGGGGGGUUGGAAAGUUUCGGCGGUUGGGGAUGGGCUCGCGGCUUAUCAGCUUGUUGGUGGGGUAGUGGCUUACCAAGGCUUUGGCGGGUAGCCGGCCUGGGAGGGUGACCGGCCACAUUGGGACUGGGAUACGGCCCAGACUCCUACGGGAGGCAGCGGUGGGGAGUAUGAACAAUGGGUGGAAGCCUGAUGCAGCAACGCCGUGUGCGGGAUGACGGCCUUCGGGUUGUAAACCGCAUUCGCUCAUGACGAAGCUUUGUGUGACGGUAGUGGGUAAAGAAGCACCGGCUAACUACGUG
rnacentral:rRNA from 1 species